rnacentral:rRNA from 1 species
CGGCGGACGGGUGAGUAAUGCCUAGGAAUCUGCCUGGUAGUGGGGGACAACGUUUCGAAAGGAACGCUAAUACCGCAUACGUCCUACGGGAGAAAGCAGGGGACCUUCGGGCCUUGCGCUAUCAGAUGAGCCUAGGUCGGAUUAGCUAGUUGGUGAGGUAAUGGCUCACCAAGGCGACGAUCCGUAACUGGUCUGAGAGGAUGAUCAGUCACACUGGAACUGAGACACGGUCCAGACUCCUACGGGAGGCAGCAGAU